rnacentral:rRNA from 1 species
UGGAUGAUGUGGAUUAAUUCGAUGCAACGCAAGAACCUUACACCCUUGACAUGUCCGGAACUUGCCAGAGAUGGCUUGGUGCCCGAAAGGGAAUCGGAACACAGGUGCUGCAUGGCUGUCGUCAGCUCGUGUCGUGAGAUGUUGGGUUAAGUCCCGCAACGGGCGCAACCCUUAUCAUUAGUUGCUACGCAAGGGCACUCUAAUGAGACUGCCGGUGACAAACCGGAGGAAGGUGGGGAUGACGUCAAGUCCUCAUGGCCCUUAUGGGUAGGGCUUCACACGUCAUACAAUGGUCGGUACAGAGGGUUGCCAAGCCGCGAGGCGGAGCCAAUCCCACAAAGCCGAUCGUAGUCCGGAUUGUUCUCUGCAACUCGAGAGCAUGAAGUCGGAAUCGCUAGUAAUCGCAGGUCAGCAUACUGCGGUGAAUACGUUCCCGGGUCUU